rnacentral:rRNA from 1 species
UAAGGUUUCCCGUAGGUGAACCUGCGGAAGGAUCAUUGUCGAAUCCUGUAAACACAAAUGACCGGUGAACUUGUUUAACCACACGGGUUCAAGACGAGUGGGCAGCAAUGCCUUUCACGCCUUUAACCCCAUAGCCGGGGCACAAGCCCCGCAAAACGAACCCCGGCACGUAAAGUGCCAAGGAAAACUCAUAACGAGAGCCUUCCUCAUCCUUUCCCGUUCGCGGGUUGCGGGGUGAGGCAACGGCUAAUUCUCGAAACGUAAAACAACUCUCGGCAACGGAUAUCUCGGCUCUCGCAUCGAUGAAGGACGUAGCGAAAUGCGAUACUUGGUGUGAAUUGCAGAAUCCCGUGAAUCAUCGAGUCUUUGAACGCAAGUUGCGCCCGAAGCCGUUUGGCCGAGGGCACGUCUGCCUGGGCGUCACGCAUCUCGUCGCCCCCCGCACCUGCCCUUCCCUAACAAAGGGCUUAGGUAAAGGUGCGAUGGGGCGGAAUCUGGCCUCCCGUGCUGCUAUGUUGGCGUGGUUGGCCAAAAUGUAUGUCUGCGCCGAAGGACGUCACGGCAAGUGGUGGUUGUUACACUCAACUCUCUUGUUGUCGUGCCGUGUCCUCUCUCGACGCGGAUUUGAUCAGACCCUGUUGCCAUUGUCUCUUCUUAACGGAGGAGCCAUGCGUUACGACUGCGACCCCAGGUCAGGCGGGACUACCCGCUGAUUUUAAGCAUAA